rnacentral:tRNA from 6 species
GCGAAAGUGGCGUAAUUGGCAGCCGCGCUAGACUUAGGAUCUAGUAUCGAAAGAUGUGGGGGUUCGAGUCCCCCCUUUCGCACAA